AUUGAACGCUGGCGGCAUGCUUUACACAUGCAAGUCGAACGGUAACAGGUUAAGCUGACGAGUGGCGAACGGGUGAGUAAUGCAUCGGAACGUGCCCGGUCGUGGGGGAUAACGCAGCGAAAGCUGCGCUAAUACCGCAUACGAUCUGAGGAUGAAAGCGGGGGACCGUAAGGCCUCGCGCGAUCGGAGCGGCCGAUGUCAGAUUAGGUAGUUGGUGGGGUAAAGGCUCACCAAGCCGACGAUCUGUAGCUGGUCUGAGAGGACGACCAGCCACACUGGGAGUGAGACACGGCCCGGACGCCUACGGGAGGCAGCAGUGGGGAAUUUUGGACAAUGGGCGCAAGCCUGAUCCAGCAAUGCCGCGUGCAGGAAGAAGGCCUUCGGGUUGUAAACUGCUUUUGUACGGAGCGAAAAGGCUCUCUCUAAUACAGGGGGCUCAUGACGGUACCGUAAGAAUAAGCACCGGCUAACUACGUGCCAGCCGCCGCCGUAA
rnacentral:rRNA from 1 species